rnacentral:rRNA from 1 species
UUUAUCAGACAUUACAUUUUGACCACUUUCCAACACAACCCUGCCUCACUGAAGCUAAGCAGGGCUGAGCCUGGUCAGUACCUGGAUGGAAGACUACAUGGGAAAACUAGGUUGCUAUUGGAA